rnacentral:rRNA from 1 species
AGGAAAUUUUAAGGGCACACGGUGGAUGCCUAGACUUUAAGUAGCGAAGAAGGACGUAGCGUUGCUGCGAUAAGCUUCGGGGAGGUGCAAAGCAACCUUUGAUCCGAAGAUCUCCGAAUGGGGGAACCUCGUCGAGUAAACCUCGAUGGUCUUUUACGCAAGUAAAAGAAGCGCACCCUGGGAAGUAAAACAUUUCAGUACCAGGAGGAAUAGAAACAAAUAUGUAUUCCCUAAGUAGCGGCGAGCGAAAAGGGAGAAGCCCAAACCGUAGUAGCAAUACUACGGGGUUAUAAGAUGACAAUGUAGAUUUCUAGAAGAGUCAAAAAAUAAAUUAUUAUUUGAAAUUGCUGGAAAGCAAUACCAUAGAGGGUGAUGGUCCCGUAAAUUAAAAUAAUUUAUCUCUUUUAUUGUUAUUCUUGAGUACCCCAGGACACCAAAAGCCGGGGGGAAUUUGGCAGAACUAACUGCUAAGGCUAAAUAUACUUAAAGAUCGAUAGUGAACUAGUACCGUGAGGGAAAGGUGAAAAGUAGUCCGGGAGGACGUUGAAAUAAACCUGAAACUGUGUGUCUACAAGGAGUCGAUGUGGAUUUAUUCCACUACGGCGUGCCUAUUGAAGAAUGAGCCAACGAGUUUAUGCAUGCUGCUCGGCUAAGUUGAUGAAACAACGUAGUCACAGGGAAACCAAGUGUUAAUAGCGCGUAAUUGGUAGUAUGCAUAAGACCCGAAGCCAGGUGAGCUUGCCAUGAGCAGGGUGAAGUAUGUCGAAAGAUAAAUGGAGGCCCGAACCCGUUCGUCGUACAACGCGUUGGGAUGACUUGUGGUAAGGAGUGAAAAGCUAAUCGAACCUGGUAAUAGCUGGUUCUCUCCGAAAUAGCUUUAGGGCUAGCGUCGCAUGUUCCUUUUGGGGGUAGAGCACUGGAAGGUUUCGACAGGGAGCAAUCUCGCGAAACCUAUCAAACUCCGAAUACCAAAAGCCAUAAUGCGGCAGUUACACUAUGGGGGCGAAGCUCCAUUGGUGAAAAGGGAAACAGCCCAGAUCUCAAAAUAAGGUCCCUAAAUAUAUACUAAGUGUAAAACAAGAAGGUGAGAUUUCUUAGACAAUGAGGAGGUUGGCUUAGAAGCAGCCAUCCUUUAAAGAUAGCGUAACAGCUCACUCAUCUAGAGAUUUUGCGUCGAAAAUAAUUGGGGCUAAGUAUAUUACCGAAUUUGAGGAUUCGUACUACGAUUUAUCGAAGUAUGAGUGGUAGGAGAGUGUUCCAAUCUGCAGUGAAGGAGGACCCGUGAGGGCUUCUGGAGCGUUUGGAAGUAAAAAUGUUGGCACAAGUAACCGCAAUGGGGUUGAGAACACCCCACGUCGAAAGAUCAAGGUUUCCUUGGUAAUGUCAAUCAGCCAAGGGUUAGUCGGUCCUAAGGGGAUGGUGAAAACCGAACUCGAUGGACAUAAGGUUAAUAUUCCUUAACUUCUGUAUUUUGUGAUGGAAGGACGGAGUGUAGUAUAUAUUGCUAGUUAUUGGAUUUUAGUUUGUAUUUUAAUUGUCCUCUAUAGGCAAAUCCGUAGAGUACCUUAAAUGGUAAAUGAAAGAAAUGCAUAAAAUUUAUUCCUACGGGAAUAGAUAAUAAUAUAAAGCACGCUUCCAAGAAAAUUUUCUAAACUUAAGAAUACAGAAACCGUACCGCAAACCGACACAGGUGAUCAGGUCGAGUAGACCAAGACGAACGAGUGAGUGGUCCUCAAGGAACUCGGCAAAAAAGCAGCCGUAACUUCGGGAUAAGGCUUGCCCUUUCAUCGCAAGAUGGAGGGGCCGCAGCGAAAGUAUUCCUGCCAACUGUUUACCAAAAACACAGCUCCCUGCGAACUCGAAAGAGGAUGUAUAGGGGGUGACACCUGACCAAUGCCAGAAGGUUAAAUAUCGGCGUUCUUUCCUUGUCGCAAGAUAAGGAAAGGGUGACUGAUAUAAGCCCUGGUGAAUGUCGGCCGUAACUAUAACGGUCCUAAGGUAGCGAAAUACCUUGUCGGGUAAGUUCCGACGCGCACGAAUGGUGUAAUGAGUGGGAAACUGUCUCGAGGACCAGCUCGGUGAAAAUACAAUACCGGUGAAGAUGCCGGUUAAGUGCAGUUAGACGAAAAGACCCUAGAAGCUUUACUAUAACUUGAUAUUGGGUAUGUUAUUUUUCUGCGUAGAAUAUAAGGGAGACUUUGAAGUAAUUUUUUCGGGAAUUAUGGAGUCGACAGUGCAAUACCUUACUUAAAAAUGGCAUAUCCUAACCAAUACGGCAAAAACGUAUUGAGACAGUAUCUGGUGGAUAGUUUUACUGGGGCUGUACCCUCCUAAAGAGUAAAGGAGGGGUUUAAAGGUCAUCUAGGCGCGAAUGGAAACCGUGCCGAUAGUGUAAUGGCAUAAGAUGGCUUGACUGUAAGGAGGACAUUCCAAGCAGGUGGGAAACCAGAACAUAGUGAUCCGACCAUACGUAUUAGAUGCGGUGGGAGCUCAACGGAUAAAAGCUACUCUAGGGAUAACAGGCUAGUUCCGCCCAAGAGUUCAUAUCGACGGCGGAGUUCGGCACCUCGAUGUCGGCUCACCUUAGCGCGGUGGUGGAGAAGCUACCAAGCGUAUGGCUGUUCGCCAUUUAAAAAGGUACGCGAGCUGGGUUCAGACCGUGGAGGAGUUGUAUCAUGUAGCAAUACAUAUCGCGACUUUUCCACAGUCUGAAUCCUCAGAGGAAGAUAAUUUGAAUAUGAAUUAGAACUGUUAUUAAAAUUGAAACCAACUAAGUACACAGUAUGUGUACGCACGGCGGUACUGAGACAUUUUGUCGAAGUAAGAAGUCGGGGUUUUCGGUAAAAUCCUAACGUGAAAACGAGGACAAUACCGAGAAGAAAAUUUUAUUUUCUUUGUAGAGACUACAAACCGACCCCUUAAAUUAAAUUUAUAGG